UAGCACAACCCAUUCUAAUCUGAAAUUUUUUUGUAAGAGUGAGUAUUUUAAACAAAACACUUAGUAAGAUACAUACAAAUUUUUAUUCAACAUAACAUAAAUAUAAAUGAAAAACAUUCAUACCCGACAUUCAUAUGGUUCAAGGAAUUUCUUUAGAAUUCCCAUAUCCCGUAGGAUUUAACAUAAUUGGACCUAACGGUCUAUCCGAAAGGAUUUAACAUAAAAAUCAUUUCUUGGAAUCUAAAGGCAUUGAAUGUAAUCAUAAUAUAGAUAUCAUGGAGAAUACAAAUUUUAACUACUGCACUUAUGUAUCUUACCUUAAAAAUAUGAAUUUGUUAAAAACUUGAAAAUGGAUUCUCCUGUUUCCCUUGAAUUGAAGAAUAGCAAAGUCUAUGGAGUUUGUAACUUUGUAUGUAUGAAACAAACGUGUGUGAAAGUUAAAUAAAUGUGCUUGGUGGGUUGACAAAAGAAAAUGCCCAAGUAUUUGAAAAAAAACUACCACAUGCUCUCACAACUUACACACACGUAUACUACUAAUAGAAAUCAAAACAAACAAAAUGAUAAGAUUGGUUAUUUCUUUACCACGUGAAAUCUCACACAUGUCAACCAAUCAAUGCAAAGGAACAUAAUAAUUAAUAUUAUAUUAAAUGGUUACAUAAAUUUCGUUUCGGCCACAACAACUUGAUAAAAUGCGUUCAAAAUAAAUUUCUCUUCAACCCGAUUUACGUAAUUUAACACGAUCUACAAGAUGAGACCCAUAUUCAUAUAUUUUUGUUAAUAUCUACUAUACCCAAUAUUGGGCCCACAUAAUAUUUAGAAAAAAAAUAAGAAAAAUGCAUAAUUAGGAAAUAAUUAACUUUUUUUUUAAUAUACAUAUAUAUUGUAUUAUUAUUUUAAUUAAUGAACUUUAUUAUAAUGACAAGGUUCAGCAUGGACCAAUUAAUUUGCUAAUGAUCAAAGUCGCAUUAACAAAAUUUAAGACCUGUGUAAGAGGUAAAUAAAAUUUGGAAUGUUACAUCCCUUCUCCCUUAAAAUAAUUUCGUCCUCGAAAUUACCUUAUUUAGUCGAAAAGCUCUGGAUACUUGGUUUUUAUCUCUUCUUCUCUCUCCCAAGUAGCUUCUUUGACUCGAUGAUUUCUCCAUCAAAUUUUGACUAAGGCAACUUCCUUGUUCAUCAAAGCAUGCACUUUCUUCUCAAUAAUUUCCAUGGGAGCCUCUUCAUAAGUCAAGCCUUUCUGCACUUCUAGUGAGUCAUAGCUUAACACAUGUUUAGGAUCAUGCACAUACUUUCUAAACAUUGACACGUGGAACACAUUAUGUACUGUCGAUAAUCUAGGUGGCAAUGCUAAACGGUAUGCCACGUGUCCAAUAAUUUCUAGAAUUUCAAAAGGACCUAUGAAUUGAGGUUUCAACUUCCCCUUCUUGCCAAAUCUUAGAACCCCUUUUAUUGGCGUUACUUUUAUGAAUACUUGCUCUCUGACUUCAAACUCAACCGACUUUCUUUUCUUGUCUGCAUAACUUUUUUAUCUAUCUUGAGCUGACUUUAUUCUAUCUCUAAUUUUAUCAACUGCUUGCACUAUUUUUGCAAUAACUUCUGGACCCAAAAUUCUAUUUUCUCCAACUUCAUCCUAAUGAAUAGGUGAUCUACAUCUUCUACCAUAUAGAGCUUUAUAAGGAGCCAUGCUAAUAGUGACCUGAAAGCUAUUAUUGUAUGCAAACUCUACUAAUGGUAGAAAUGACUCCCAACUACCUCCAAAGUCCAAGACACAUGCUCGAAGAAUAUUUUCUAGAGUCUGAAUGGUCCUUUCUGAUUGUCCAUCUGAUUGGGGAUGAUAGGCAGUACUAAAAUUUAACUUUGUCCCCAUAACUCCUUGCAGGCUCUUCCAAAAUCUUGAUCUAAGACGAUAGAAGUCAAAAAUCCAUGCAGCUUGAUAAUUUCCUUGACAUAUAACUGGGCAAACUAAUCCGUGUUGUAGUUCAUUCGUACUGGAAGGAAGUGAGCUGAUUUUGUCAAUCUAUCCACAAUGACCCAAAUAGCAUCAUAUUCUCAGUUUGUCUUUGGAAAACCUAUCGUAAAAUCCAUAGCUCUCUUCUCCCAUUUCCACUCUGGAAUUUCUAAUGGGUUUAAUGGCCUUGAUGGUCUCUGAUGUUCGGCCUUAACUUGGUGGCAUAUCAUACAUUUCUCAAUAAAUAGACCAAUUUCUCUUUUCAUAUUCCUCUACCAAAAUGUAUCGUGAAGGUCUCGAUACAUCUUUGUACUGUCAGGAUGCGCUGUGUACGGGGUGGUGUGAGCUUCUUCUGAUAUCUCUUUCCUUAUUCCUUCAUUCUUCGGUACAUGUAGUCUCCUCUCAAACAUCAAAGCAUUAUCAUCUGCUAUAGCAAAACCCUUUCGUUUACUUGUACCAAUUUCUACCUUAAUAUUUUUCAAGAAUGGGUCAUUGUCUUGGGCAUCUUUGAUGCGAUCCCUAAGUGUAGGUUGGAUCUUCAAUGUCGCAAUCUUUGCAGUAACCUGAGUCGAUGGGAUGACCACUUCCAAUCUCAAUUUCUCAAAUUCCUUUAACAACUAUCCUUCGGUAAUGGGUAGAGCUGCCAAUUGUCCCACUGUCUUUUUACUAAGGGCAUCAGCAACUACAUUUGCCUUACUCGAAUGGUAAUGAAUAAUGCAGUCAAAGUCCUUAACCAAAUUCAACGACCUUCUCUGCCUCAUAUUUAACUCCUAUGUGAAGAAAUAUUUCAGGCUUUUGUGACCGUAUAGAUGUCGCAUUUUUCCCCUAUAGAGAUAGUGACGUCAUAUCUUUAGAGCAUGCACCACCGUCGCCAAUUCUAAAUCGUGCAUGGGGUAGUUUUGCUCAUGUUGUUUUAAGUGUCUUGAAGAAUAAGCAAUCACCUUUUCGUUCUGCGUCCGCACAUACCCUAAACCCUGUUUAGAUGCAUCAUUAUAUAUAACAAAUCCAUCUAAGCCCUUUGGUAUAGCCAAUACUGGGGCUGUGACCAAUUUCUGUUUUAAUUCUUGAAAACUCUUCUUGCACUUCUCAGUCCACUAAAAUUUUACCCCUUUUUUAAUUAGUUGGGUCGUCUACCCAACUGUUUUAGAGAAUCCUUCAAUGAAUCUUCGAUAAUAACCAAUCAAUCCUAAAAAGCUACGGACUUUACCUACAAUCGACGAUUUAGGCCACUCGGUUACUGCCUAAACUUUAGUAGGAUCGACUUCAACUCCUUGGGAUGUAACCACAUGACCCGGAAAGCCUAUAAGGUCCAAUCAAAAUUUACACUUUUUGAAUUUGGCAUACAAUUUUUCCUUCCUUAGUGUUUCCAGUUAUAUUUUAAGUUGUUCUUCAUGUUGCUCCUUGUUCCUCGAAUACACCAAAAUAUCAUCAAUGAAAAUAAUGACGAAUUGAUCUAGAUAUUGAUGAAAUACCCGAUUCAUCAUGUCUAUGAACACUGUGGGAGCAUUCGUCAAUCCAAAAGGCAUUACAGUGAACUCGUAAUGACCAUAACGAGUUCUAAAUGCCGUCUUCGAAAUAUCAUUUGCCUUCACUUUCAGCUGGUGAUAACCUGACCUUAAGUCACUCUUGAAAAAUAUUGUUGCACCCUUUAAUUGAUCAACGAGGUCUUCAAUCCAUGGUAGGGGAUGUUUAUUUUUAAUAGUUAACCGAUUUAUUUCACGGUAGUAAAUGCACAUUCUCAUUGAACCAUCUUUCUUCUUUAUGAAUAAAAUUGGUGCACCCCAAGGAGACACACUUGGUCGGAUGAAGCCUUUAUCCAACAAUUCUUGUAACUGUAAUUUCAAUUCUUGUAGCUCUUUUGGCGCCAUUGUACAUGGAGCUUUAGAUACUGGCGCUGCUCCAGGCACGAGAUCAAUCGUUAACUCAAUAUGUCUAUUUGUUGGAGUGCCAGGUAGAUCAUCAGGAAACACAUCAAUAAAAUCUCGUACAAUUGGUACCGUACUAAGAGGAACCUUCGAUUUCUGUGCUUUAGAUAAAUUCACCAAAAAUCCAUGGCAAGAUUUCUUCUUCAACAUCUUCUCUGCCUUCAUGGCGGACAUGAUGCGAGGUAGAAACUUUACUCACGCCGUGAAGAAUCAAAAAUCUUCCUCCCCAGGCUUCUGAAAAAUUACUUCAUUCUUAAAACAUCGGAUGGUUGCAUGAUUGCUCCGCAACCAAUCCAUUCCCAGAAUAACAUCAAAGUCUUUCAUAUCUAAAAUGUAUAGGUCAACUUUUAAUUCUCUUCCAUCCAUUUCUAACUUUAUCGUCCUAGCUAUCUGAUUGGUGUUCAAUGUUCUACCUGAUGGGAUGGUAACUUCUAAAGCACUAUCCAAUUUUUCAUAUGGAAUACAUGAUUUAGCAAUAAAUGCAAUAGAGACAAAUGAAUAAGUAGCUCCUGAGUCGUAUGUAAGUAGUUCAGAUACUGAUAGAAUAUCUGUCAUUACAUUCGGAUCCUUUGUUGCCUCUUCCUAGGUCAAUGCAAAGACCCUAGCUUGAUUGCUUGCGACAUCUUAUCAAUGCUUGUUAUAGCGGUGAAGUUCCUCAAACCAAUCUAGUAGAUAAAAAUAGGAGGAGUCCAUCCCUUUUUGUACUGCUCGUAGUCCUUCUUAGGUCUGGAGCAAAAUGCCCUUCUUGGCCAUAUCGAUAGCACACAUUCUUUCCAAACUAACAUUCUCCUCAGUGGCCCUUGUUGCAUUUAGGAUAUGGAGGAAUAACCUUAUUUGGUUUGCUUGAUCCUGUGCUGGCUUUUUUGUUCUGUCCAAAUCCUUUCCUUAUUUUCGACCCAUUCCACUUUCAUUUUCUAAAAGAUUCAUCACUUUUCUUGAUCAUCCUAUCCAUUUCCAGUCAAUUAGAAAUUGACUGAGCUUGUUGUAGUACUUCACUGUAGGUUGUGGUAUGGUGAGAUGCCAUGAUUCCUCCAAUCUCUGGAUGUAAUCCUAGCUCAAACCUUCUAGCCUUCUUUGCUCCAGUGUCCACGAGGUGUAAGGCAUACCUAGAAAGAUGUUCGAACUUUUUUUCAUAAUCUUCAAGAGGCAUUUUUCCCUGCUUCAGUUGUAGAAAUUAUGCCUCUCUUCGAUCCCUUAGGGACUGGGGAAUAUUCAUUUUCAUUACUUCAUCUUUGAGCUGUACCCAAGUUAUAGCACGUUGUUCUGCUUCUGUUCUAGUGCGUGAAGUAGACUCCCACCCGUGGCCUGCUAUAUCAAUCCGCAUAAAUUCGACUCAUGAUACUUUUUGGGUAUCAAUACAUUCCAUGUGUUUGAAAAUCUACUCUAGUCCUCUUAGCCACUCCUCGACUGCCAAAAGGUCAGCUUUUCCAUCAAAAGAAUGAGGCUUUUGAAGCGGCAAAACUGCUCUACAAUUGCACCCGUGUUGUUGGCACUAGCUGGUGCAUGUCGUCUACCAAGGUCAUGCACUGCCCUCAUAAGACCCUCGAACAUAGUUGUUUGGUCUUCUUGUUGUGUCAUUUCCUUUAAAUCAACAAAAUUUAAAUUUUUUUUUAGAAACCUUGGACAACACAGCUUAUUAUAUUCAAAGGGAAAAUGAAAUGUCAUAAAUAUGAAUCUUUGACGCUAGAAUGUACUAUUGAUUAAAAUAAAUCUCAAAUAACAUAAGGCAUUUUCUUUCUAAAUGGAAAGGAAAACAUCAUAGAACAAGGAAGUAGAAUAUAAGUUUCUAAUUUCUAUGGAUCCUAAGAGUCUUCUUUGGUGGAGCCUCAUCUUCUGAGGGGUCUUUGCCUUGAGGCCGGACUCUACUGCUAUUUCAACUUGUGGCUCAGGUUGUUGCUCGAGAUUAUCCUCUAACUCCAACUCAAAGUUAUCUUCAUGCUCUGAUUUAGGUUUUUCCUCAGGGUCCGAUUCAUACUAGAGCUCGGGCUCUGGGUCUGGCUCGGCCUCAUCUUGUACCUCAUCUACUAACUCAUCUCCCGGCUCUUGUUGUGGUAGUAGGCUCUCAUUAUACUUAUCCAAAAGAGACUGACAAUACGUGCCAAACUCAAUCAUGUCUGAGUGCUCUGGAGGGUUACCUCGGAGCAUCUCAUCUCUAACCACAAUUCCCAUGUCUUCCCAUUGAGGUGGAAGCGAGUUUAUAAGGUUAUGAAUGGCCUCGAUAUGCGUGAUCUCUAGUCCUGCAUCAACCACUGCCAUAUAUCUCUCAUAGAUGUCUUGAACGUGUUCGACAAACGAACGAGUCGGGUCCGUUACAUAAUUCUCAUAAGACUGAAUGAUGGACCUUCAUUUCAGUGUUGCUUUACAAACUGUUGUUUUUCUAGCUAUUCAAUAAGUCCUAGCCAUAUAUGUCACAUAAUUGUCAAAUUAUGUUUGGUUUCUUUUGUUAUUGAUAUCAUAUUAUAUAUUAUGCUUUUUUUUUUUUUUGGAUAGGACUACCAAAUUUUGCAUAUAAUUUCACUAAUAAAAAUUCACAUAAUGGUGAAAGAAUAUAAUUUUUUUUUCUAAGUCUGCAGAAAGGUAGACCUGAGGUCUGAUACCAAUCAGUAAUGCCUCCUUUUUUUCAAUCUUUUUUUUUAAAAAAGGAGUGUCCAAGUUUCUUAUUUUUGAAGAAAUAAAAUCUACUUUUUGAACCUUAAGGAAAAUUUGAUAAAUCGACUCUAUGAAUUUAAAGAGUAACCAACUAACAUUUAAGUUUAAUUAAGAUCAUUCAACAUCAAUUUAAAUGAAAUACACCAACAUGAAUGUUGAAGCUGCAAAAUAAAUGUGCACAUACUAAACAUAAACAUGUCAAAUAAAAGUCUAAUCAUGAAUAUACUAAAAAUCUUUUUUUUUUUGUUUACUUGGCAACCCAGAAGCAUCCACUCGUUCAAUCUUCCACGCAUCUAGCACAACCUGUUCUAAUCUGAAAUUUUUUUGUAAGAGUGAGUAAUUUAAACAAAACACUCAGUAAGAUACAUGCGAAUUUCUAUUCAACAUAACAUAAAUAUAAAUGAAAAACAUUCAUACCCGACAUUCAUAUGGUUCAAGGAAUUUCUUUAGAAUUCCCACAUCCCAUAGGAUUUAAUAUAAUUGAACCUAGCUGUUUAUCCUGAAGGAUUUAACAUAAAAGUCAUUUCUUGGAAUUUUAAAGCAUUGAAUGAAAUCAUAAUAUAGAUAUCAUGGAGAAUAAAAAUUUUAACCAUUGUACUUAUGUAUCUUACCUUAAAAAUCUGAAUUUGUUAAAAAACUUGAAAAUGGAUUCUCGUGUUUCCCUUGACUUGAAGAAUAGCAAAGCCUAUGGAGUUUAUAACUUUGUAUGUAUGAAAUAACUGUGUGUGUAAGUCAAAUAUAUGUGCUUGGUGGGUGGGUAAAAGAAAAUGGCCAAGUAUUUGAAAAAAAACCACCACGUGCUCUCAUAACUUAUACAUAUGUAUACCACUAAUAGAAAUCAAAACAAACAAAAUGAAAAGAUUGGUUAUUUCUUUACCACGUGAAAUCUCACACAUGCCAACCAAUCAAUGCAAA
rnacentral:lncRNA from 1 species